rnacentral:rRNA from 1 species
AAAAACAUCGCCUUUUGAUAUACUAUAAAAGGUCUAGCCUGCCCAGUGAUAAACUUAAACGGCCGCGGUAUCUUGACCGUGCAAAGGUAGCAUAAUCACUUGUCCCUUAAAUAGGGACUAGUAUGAAUGGCAUCACGAAGGUUAUACUGUCUCCCUCCCUUAAUCAGUGAAAUUAAUCUCCCCGUGAAGAAGCGGGGAUAAUUUUAUAAGACGAGAAGACCCCAUGGAGCUUAAAACAAAUAUUACUUGCAUUAUUAUAUACCACCCUAGUCUAGCAAACUACCUAUUAGUUUUUGGUUGGGGCAACCAUGGAGUAAAAAUUAAUCUCCACGAUGAAAGAAACACCCGCUUCUAAUUAAAGAGCUACCACUCGUAAAAUCAAAACACUGACAUAAAGACCCAAUAAAAUUGAACAACGAACCAAGUUACCCUGGGGAUAACAGCGCAAUCCAUUUCAAGAGCCCCUAUCGACAAAUGGGUUUACGACCUCGAUGUUGGAUCAGGGUCCCCCAGUGGUGCAGCCACUACUAAAGGUUCGUUUGUUCAACGAUUAAAACCCUACGUGAUCUGAG